rnacentral:rRNA from 1 species
GGAAGGAUAUUACUGGGACCAGGUUGGGCGCUUCGGCGCCCGCCCCCACCCUUUGCUUAGCCUCCGAAAUAAUACAGACCCGUCGGCUUCUGGCGCGCCCGCUUGACAGCGUGGUGCGCCGGCCGGACAUCAAACCCUGAACAACAUUGCAGCCUGAAGUGAAAAGCAAAUAAUUAAAACUUUCAACAACGGAUCUCUUGGUUCUGGCAACGAUGAAGAACGCAGCGAAAUGCGAUAAGUAAUGUGAAUUGCAGAAUUCAGUGAAUCAUCGAAUCUUUGAACGCACAUUGCGCCCCCUGGUAUUCCGGGGGGCACACCUGUUCGAGCGCCAUUACAUCCCUCAAGCUUUGCUUGGUGAUGGGCCCCGCCCGCGCGGCGGGCCCGAAACUCGUGGGCGCCCCUGAUCGGACUCCAAGCGUAGCAAAACCCUCGCUUGCGGACGACCGGUCGGAGGCCGCCCCGGACCCCCAAAUUUUUCAAUGGUUGGCCUCGGAUCAGGUGGGGAUACCCGCUGAACUUAAGC